AGGAGAUGAAAGCGAAUCAUCCUCACUUAUUUGAGGAUUGAGCUGAGGUAUGAAUUUAGAGUUUAAAUUCUGGAUAAAUUUAGUAUUGUCGAGUUCGUUUUGAGGACGAAACUUUAUUAAGGCGGGGAAGAUGUAAGGGAAGUGAAUUCUCGAAAUCCGAGGAUUGGACUACGUUUAAAAUCGACUAACUGUCGAGUUGGUGUGCUUCGGAAAGU
rnacentral:lncRNA from 1 species